CUUACUGACUGAGUCACCCAGGUGGCCUUUUCAUAUUUAUUUCAAAUAUUUUUCCAUUUUGUCAUUUGCCUUUUGAUUACUUUCUUUAUAUACUUGUUUUACUAACAAAAGUUUAAAUGUAUGUGAUAAGCAUAAUCAUCUUUCCUCUAUGAUUUUUCCCAUUGCUUUUAUGCUUAGAAAUUCUUCCCUAGAUCAGAUAUUCCCACUAUUUUCUUUUGGAAUUAUUUGUUUGUUUACUAUUUGGCUUUUUCAUCCAAAGGUCCUGUCACCUGUUUUUGCAAAUAAAGUUUUAUUGGCAUAGCCAUACUUAUUUGUUCAUGAUGCUGUCACACUGGCAUGGUUGAAUAGUUGUGACAGAAACCUGUAAUAUUUAGUAGCUGGUCGUUUAUAGUUUGCCAACUCCUGCUUUGUUGCUUCACAGUUUAUUUGGAUAUAUAAUUUAGUUGAGGCCCUAAUUUGAUUCCCUCCUUGUCCCCAACACUCAUUUCCCCUAAUCUUGUUUGUUGAAUUCAUUCAUUCCUUACUCACUGACUUGUGAUACUGCCUUUAUUAUAUUUUAUGUUCUUCUAUAUACUAGCCUUUAUUUUGGUACCAUUCUGUGUCCAUUACAGAGGCAAAAUUCUUCUCCAGCUGUCAGUUCAAUUGCAAUUUAGUAAAAAUAAAACAAAUUUAGAGAGAGAAACAUAAACUACAUUUUUAAGAUAGAAUAUGUAGACUGUCCUCCAUAAGUUGCUGAAUGAGAGUCUUAUAAAGCAUAUAUUGGUAAAGAUUCAGAGUUAAGGGUUAAGGUUUGAGUGUAGAGUUAAGUAUAUUUGUAAAUUUGUUUCCUUGUGAAAUAGCCUGUUCAUAAAGCAGAUCAAGCUUGUCUUUGUAAGGACUCUCUGGUGCAUUCUGAUGAAGGAAAAAUUCCAGUCUGGCAGCUGCAUCCUCAAGUAACCUUGAUUUGAAUCUACAUAUUUUCUAUAUCCGCUCUUUGCUAACAAAAGGAGUCCCAGCAAAAUAUAAGCAGGGGUACUCCUAGAGUUUCCAAACCCAGUGUAUUCAUGUCUACGGGAAAUACAUCUGUAUCUUAAUAGAUGGAGAGUAAAUUCUAGCCUUUCUGUUACAUGAGGCUAGUUUUCCUCCUUACCCUCAUUUUACAUGUGUGUAAGGUUUGGAUAUGUGUAUGUUUGUGUGUGAUGUAUGUGUGGCUGUGUAUUUGUGUAAGUGUGUGUGUGUGUUUUAUUGUUAUCUCAGUCCUGGAAUGUUGGAUAAAGGAGUACUUUACAUUUUCUCCAAUGUCAGUGAACAAUCAGAGGCUUUAUCUUAGGAUGCAUUUCAAUAAACAUCUGUUUCUCUGCCAAGGAAAAACCCGUGUCCUGGGGACUGAGGUAGAUGUGACCUGUAAACCCAAGCAGAGCGACUACAUGGAGCUGGUUGCCCGCUGUAUUCAUUGGAUGCCUGCUAAUACAGUUUGUGCUGUCAGAGAGCCGGUAGGCGCUCCUAAGUGGGAUGCAAGCUGUGACGGGGUAAGUUACGUGUAAUUACCAUGAGAGUAUCUAUGAGGCGCUCCUAGUUCACCUUCGGAGCAGAGUCAGGGAAUGUUCCUGGUGGAGGUGAUGUCUAACUUGAGUCUUGAAGGAAGAGAAGAAUGUACCAGGUGAAGGGGUAGGUGAGGGGCAUUUCUCCCUCCCAGGGAGGGAGAGCUGAGACCUCCUUGGAGCUGCUAGUAAUUCCACAAGGCUGGAGGGAGCUUAUGGAGCUGGACAACUGUGGGAGUACAUUGGCGGCCAGUGGGCUGGAGAGGUAAGCAGGGAAGUAACCAGAUCCCGGUGGGUCUUUUGGAACUGUAUUCCAGUAUUGGAGGGGAGCCAUUUACUGAAGAUUUUAGACAAGGCAACUCAUGGUCAGACUGAUGUUUUAGCAAAAUCACUCAGACUGCAGAGUGAAUGAUGGAUUGUUGAAAGGGAGGUCUGAAGGUGGAGGCACUAAGGAGGGGGUCCUUGCAACAGAGUGACAGGUGAUGUUGGCCUCAUUAAAGUAGAUGGGAGUGGAGAUGGAGAGAAGUACCUGGAUGUAAGAGACAGUUAAGUCCAGAAGAGAGAGGGGAAGGAGUCAAGAGUGUUCAGAUGUUUGAAGUGCGUACCUCCAGGGCAUCUGCUGAAGGAAUGGGACAGAGGGGGUUGGGAUGGAGGGGAGGAUUUUGGUUUGGGGCAUCCCUAGUUUGAGGUUAGGAGACAUCCGUAGAUCAGUGUGUCGUGACCAUUGAGGCUGCAGGUAGAGCUGUGGGUUCUAGCAUGGGAAUGGGUGCGCUGUCCUGGCUACAGUGCCCUGGGAAGUGCAAAGGAAAAGGAGCUGGAAUCGCUCUCUGGAGUUGAGUGGUCAGGGGGGUAGAGGAUAGCCUGGUUUGCAUUUGGAAAUGGAAGUAUAGCCGGCUAAAUACUCAGAGCUUGAAGAACUUUGCCUGUGUGUGUUUGUGCAUGUGCCUCUUGCUUCCAGUGCCCUGACAGCGUCAUCUUUAUUAUUCACAGAAACAUUUAGGAAAUGUGUGCACAGUGUCCUUCUCAGCACAACAGACUUUCACGUUAAGUAUCCUCUCUGUUCUUUGGAAGGGGCUUAUAUAGUGGGGUGGGGGAAACAGUGGGUCACUGAAGAAAGCCACCCCUCUCCACCUCCUCCCUACCCUCUCCUCCAUCAGACUAGCUGACACUUACUGAGUAUUCGCUAAUUAUCAUGUGCUGUUCUAAGCUCUUUAUGUCCAUUUACUUAUUUAAUUCUUAGGACAACCUGAUGAGGUAGAUACUCUUGUUACCUUUACUUUAUAGAUUGGGAAAUGGAGGAACCCAAAUAAAGUAAAUAUUGUCUACAGCCACAUAGUGAGUAGGACAGCUGGGAUUCAAACCAGCGAUUUAGUUCCAGAGCCCUGUGUUCCUAACCAUGGUACCCUGAAGUCCUGUCUUUCAGUACAGCAGACACAAGUAUUAAGGUGAAAUCACGAUGGGAUGUGGAAAAGCACUCAGAAAUGAAUGAACCCCACAACAAUGGAAGAAUGGAGAAAAGAUGAGACAAAGAUGAACAGGGAGCCCCAUCUAGCUUGGGAGACAAAAGCAAACAUUAGUAGAAAAAAGGGCUGGAUCCACAAGAAAUCAAAGGGUAAUCUGAACCAGUGACCAGGGGCAAUCGGUCAAGAAGGAUUGAAGAGAAGGUGGCAUCUGAGCUGGGUGUGAAGGAUGAACACAAACCCUGAAGGGGUUAGGGUGUAGGCAUGGCUGGGGGGACUCUGUGUUGAUCAGAAGGGAAAGGUGAGUUCAGAGGUGUGCAGGGGAGGGAGGGAAGCUCAGAGCUGCGUGUGAAGUGAGGUGGUCAGUUCCUGAAGAGCUGCCUCAUGUGCCCAGCACCCUGUGUUCCAGUCCGGAAGCUUGUGGAGCCACUGUAAGGUAUUUUAGACCAUCCUUCUUAUGGCAGAGUGGGGUCAGGGGCAGAAAGGAAGAGACUGGAGGCAGGGGGACCAGGGGUGAAAGCUCUGAACCCCCAAGCAAACCCUCUGAUUGAGGGGAUGGGGGGAAAGGGUCAGACUGCAGCGGUUUUUUAUGGAGCUAGAAUUUGCUCAACGCUGCACACUGGAAGUAGGCGAGAGAGUGGGAAUAACAACACCCGGUCUCCUGACUUGGGAGGUGGUGAUGCCAUUAAUCAAAUGCAGGCACCGCAGGGGUGGGGCAGAGUGGGCCUCCGUGCAGCUGGUGAGAGCAGAGAGGGGAGAUCAGGACUUCACUCCUGGUCUUGGUGAGUUCCAAUGCCUGAGAAACCUUCAGGUCAGGGACAGAUCCAGCUUCUGGAGGGCCCUGGAGCAUUUACAAUUUCGAGCCCCUCUUUAAGAAAACUACUAGAAAAUUGCAAAUACCAAGGGGCGCCUGGGUGGCUCAGUCAGUUACACAUCUGACUCGAUUUCAGCUCAGGUCAUUUCUCAUGGAGAAAUUGUGAGAUGGAGCCCCGAAUGGGGCUCAGCGCUGGGCGUGGAGCCUGCUUAAGAUUCUCUCUCCCCCUUCCUUCUCCUCAAAAAAAAAAGGAAAGAAAAUUAUAAAUACCAGGUUAGAUGCAAGACCUUGGGCGGGGCCCCUUCGAGGGGGGUCCUGGAGCUUAAGCCUGCUCCUGCUUCAUGGUAGAUGUCUGAGGCUCCCUGUCUCCUUCCCUGUCUACAUCUUCCUGGAGGUCCAGAUGUCCCCAGACUCUUCUCUCUGAGCCAAAGGCUGGUUGUCAUCCUGUUAAGACUGUUAGAGCUAAUUAAAGUUAAUCCAGGGGUUACCUUAAUGUGGUGUUCAUGCUUUCAGACUUUUCUGCAGAAAAGAUACCCUGCUUCCACUGCCUUCUUAACACACAAGAGAAACAGAAAAAAAAAAAAAAAAGCUACAAAGGGCUUUCGUGGGGUGAGGGGUUUGGUAUAUUAGCCCUCUCCGUGACCAAAAGAGGAUAACAAUAUGAAAGUAUAUUCUACUUGGAUUAUCAACAGGAAAUGGUAGCCAUGUAGACAAUGAACUAUUUUUUUUUUAAUAUUUUAAGGUUUAUUUAUUUUUGAGAGAGAGACAGCAGGAGUGGUGGAGGGGCAGAGAGAGAGAGGGAGAGAGAGAAUCCCAAGCGGGCUCUGCAUUGUCAGCUCAGAGCCCGACUUGGUCUCGAACCCACAAAACCGUGAAAUCAUGACCUGAGCUGAAACCAAGAGUUGGACCCUCAGCUGACUGAGCCAGCCAGGCGCCCCUAGACAACGAACUGCUAACACUUCCAGCUUUUCCUGUGAAGAAAGAGUUUCAGGGAGCUGUUUUACCUAUAGCCUCUUACCAAGAAUGAAACCUUUUCAACCAAGUUUAUGUGGUUUCCUAAUAGGGAUUAAAAGUGGUUUUAUAAUAGCCGGGAAAUGUAAGGCAAAAGACAGCACGUUUAGAUAAUUCUCCCGAUACAACUUACAAAAUGAGUUUUGUAGCAGGAAGAUGGGCGUGGAGAACAGGACCCUAGAAUCAUUGUUUAGUCUGUGUCUUUGAUCAUUCUGGCUGGAAAGCCUCUCCUUGCAGGGAGGUGGUUGCCGACACUGCCAAGGACAAGGUUAUAUUUGGGCAAAAUGUUGUCCUCCCUCCUCCUCCUGCGCUUGGCCGUGGAACCCCUACUAAAGUCCUCAUCCUCAGUGCGGCCACCAGCCCACCCCUAAGCCUCAGUGUUCCAGAAUUCCACCCCCACUUCCUUUUUCUGUCAGUCUCUGCCUGUGAAUGAUCUCAGCUAGAUGUUGGGCUCUUAUCUGAUUAAAACACUCACACAUGGUAUAAAUAGCUAACAAUUCUAUCUCCCAAAGGGUAUUUGCAUUUUAGAGGGGAGUUUGCUAACUAAGGGUAGUGCUGGAGGUGAUGAUGAAGGAUUUGGGAGCAGCCUGUUAUUUAUUUCCAAACUGUGGAGUGAAUGGGGUUUGGAUGCCCCUGAGUCUCCGAGUUUGGGUUUGGGUUUUGAUCAUAGAAGGAGAAUAUUUUUUACCUCAUUUUUCUUCUUUUCCAAGAAGGCGAGUUUUCUGGGUAUGGUUAUCUAGAGCAAAUUUCAGAUGUUUAAUUAGGGAGGGCAUGAGAUUUUUGGCAGGGGACCCUCUCUGCUGUGACUUGCCACCUGCAGGCCACCCAGUUCCUCUCCUAAGCUCCCAGAAAGAUGAGCUUGGGAACCCAGCACCUGGCUUUGGAAAGACAGCUCCUGCUCUUGUGAACUGAAAAUAUCUGCAAUCUGCAACUGCAUCAAGGGCCUCAAAUGCUGGGGCCUUGUAAAGAGAGAGCAUGAAGAUGUUACUUUCCCAUUAAAUGCAUGGCCUGCUCGUGCUCUGAGUCUGUGUUUAGAACUGAGUGCUGCAUCUUAAGAAGGACGCAUCAGGGCAGGAGAAAAUCCAGAGAGGGGCUAUUAAAAGGACCAGUGCGCAUUUAUAGCAAAGUUGGUAGGUAGGAGCCCCUUCUAUGUGUGUUCUCUCCCAGAGUCUUAAGUCAGACCAGAUCAUCCUACUUUUAUAACUCUGGCUGGGGGGUCGGGUGGGAUGAGGACUGAAAAGAGGCAGAGCCCUGAACGUUUUA